CAUUCUGGAAAGAAAUAUUUUCAAUUUUAUACAAUGAAAUAUUAAUGUAUAUGUACUAGCACACUACUUUUUAUAGUUUGCCAUAGUAUUUAAAACAUAAAUGAAAUGUGUCAGUGAUUUUGUGAAGACAUUCAAAUUGUAUGCACAUAUAAUAAACAGUUAUACUUGUGUAAAUAAACAGAAUGACUUAAUAAUUCGGCAUCAAAUUUUGUGACAGCUACUCCAUAGAAGAAUUAAGCAAGAGGUAAGACACAUCCUGAAAAAAAGUAUUUAACUGUCAUGCUUGUCUUCAUGUACAUGAUGGAAAACACACAUUUUUGCGAAUGUGAUGUCCUCUAAAAAAUCCACAGCAGAUCAAGUCAGAGAUUCCAACAUAAGACCAUACUCUGCAUGGCUGUGUACUGUCAAUAUUCUACAUGAAUAGAACUCACACUGUGUUAAUUACCUUGUAGUCCUCAGCAACAAUGUUUUGUUCCUCCAAUUCCAGUUUUCCCACUUGUUGCAUAAGAACUACUAAGUUGUUGUAAUGCUUUGCCACAUUGUCUCCACUGCAGGGACUACAGAACACAACUGUGGCACUGAGAAGCACCUCAUCCAUCUGGUUCAGGUCUUGCCAUUCUUUUUUGUCAAUAAAAAAGAAACAUGGCUCCUGUGGCAAACUACAUCUAAAGAAUUUAUCUUCUGCCUCACUGCUCUCUGUAGAAAUAUCGUAGACAAUAUGGCACAGUCACUAUAUUAAACCUUCUGAAUGAACUGACAGACAAAUUACCAAGGAAGACUUUCGCUCUCCACAAGGUCUGUUCUCAACAUCA